rnacentral:rRNA from 1 species
UGGGGAAUUUUGGACAAUGGGCGAAAGCCUGAUCCAGCAAUGCCGCGUGUGUGAAGAAGGCCUUCGGGUUGUAAAGCACUUUUGUCCGGAAAGAAAUCCUUGGCUCUAAUACAGUCGGGGGAUGACGGUACCGGAAGAAUAAGCACCGGCUAACUACGUGCCAGCAGCCGCGGUAAUACGUAGGGUGCAAGCGUUAAUCGGAAUUACUGGGCGUAAAGCGUGCGCAGGCGGUUUGCUAAGACCGAUGUGAAAUCCCCGGGCUCAACCUGGGAACUGCAUUGGUGACUGGCAGGCUAGAGUAUGGCAGAGGGGGGUAGAAUUCCACGUGUAGCAGUGAAAUGCGUAGAGAUGUGGAGGAAUACCGAUGGCGAAGGCAGCCCCCUGGGCCAAUACUGACGCUCAUGCACGAAAGCGAUGGGGAGCAAACGAGGAUUAGAUACCCUGGUAGUCCAGCGCCCUAAACGAUGUCAACUAGUUGUUGGGGAUUCAUUUCCUUAGUAACGUAGCUAACGCGUGAAGUUGACCGCCUGGGGAGUACGUCGCAAGAUUAAAACUCAAAGGAAUUG